rnacentral:rRNA from 2 species
GAAUUUUAUAUAUUAAGGUAAGUAAUUUUAUUAAUUAUGUUAAUAUAUUUUAUUGGGAGGAUAUUUAAAUUUAAUAAACUUUAAUUAAAAUUUUACAUUAAUUAAUGGUUUAAAAUGAAUGAAUAAUAAUUUUAUUAAGAAUUAAUUACCUUAGGGAUAACAGCAUAAUAUUUUUUUGUAGAUCUUAUAUAAAGAAGUGAUUAU